rnacentral:rRNA from 1 species
CCUACGGGAGGCAGCAGUAGGGAAUUUUCGUCAAUGGGCGCAAGCCUGAACGAGCGAUGCCGCGUGAGUGAAGAAGGCCUUCGGGUCGUAAAGCUCUGUUGCGGGGGAAAAAAGGCAGCAUCAGGAAAUGGGUGCUGACUGAUGGUGCCCCGCCAGAAAGUCACGGCUAACUACGUGCCAGCAGCCGCGGUAAUACGUAGGUGGCGAGCGUUAUCCGGAAGGAUUGGGCGUAAAGGGUGCGCCGGCGGUCCUGCAAGUCUGGAGUGAAACGCAUGGGCUCAACUCAUGCAUGGCGUUGGAAACUGGAGGACUGGAGAGCAGGAGAGGGCGGUGGAACGCCAGGUGUAGCGGUAAAAUGCGUAGAUAUAUGGAAGAACACCAGUGGCGAAGGCGGCCGCCUGGCCUGUUGCUGACGCUGAGGCACGAAAGCGUGGGGAGCAAAUAGGAUUAGAUACCCUUGUAGUC